ensembl:snoRNA SNORA62 Small nucleolar RNA SNORA62/SNORA6 family
UAUGCACGCUUGUUAGAACUCAGAGCUGAGGAUGGUUUCUAUCCAAAGAACUUAUGAGUGUAGGAAGUGUGCUACAUCAUCUUCUGCAAGUCUUUUCGCUAACACCAUAAGAACCUCUUGGGUUCAAUGAAUGGGGUUUGAUAGUGAUUCUUGCUACAUAU